UGGGGAAUUUUGGACAAUGGGCGAAAGCCUGAUCCAGCAAUGCCGCGUGUGUGAAGAAGGCCUUCGGGUUGUAAAGCACUUUUGUCCGGAAAGAAAUCCUUGGCUCUAAUACAGUCGGGGGAUGACGGUACCGGAAGAAUAAGCACCGGCUAACUACGUGCCAGCAGCCGCGGUAAUACGUAGGGUGCAAGCGUUAAUCGGAAUUACUGGGCGUAAGCGUGCGCAGGCGGUUUGCUAAGACCGAUGUGAAAUCCCCGGGCUCAACCUGGGAACUGCAUUGGUGACUGGCAGGCUAGAGUAUGGCAGAGGGGGGUAGAAUUCCACGUGUAGCAGUGAAAUGCGUAGAGAUGUGGAGGAAUACCGAUGGCGAAGGCAGCCCCCUGGGGCCAAUACUGACGCUCAUGCACGAAAGCGUGGGGAGCAAACAGGAUUAGAUACCCUGGUAGUCCACGCCCUAAACGAUGUCACUAGUUGUUGGGGAUUCAUUUCCUAGUAACGUAGCUAACGCGUGAAGUUGACCGCCUGGGGAGUACGGUCGCAAGAUUAAAACUU
rnacentral:rRNA from 1 species